AUUGAACGCUGGCGGAAUGCUUUACACAUGCAAGUCGAACGGCAGCACGGACUUCGGUCUGGUGGCGAGUGGCGAACGGGUGAGUAAUGUAUCGGAACGUGCCCAGUCGUGGGGGAUAACGUAGUGAAAAUUACGCUAAUACCGCAUACGAUCUCUGGAUGAAAGCGGGGGAUCGCAAGACCUCGCGCGAUUGGAGCGGCCGAAAUCAGAUUAGGUAGUUGGUGGGGUAAAGGCCCACCAAGCCAACGACCUGUAGCUGGUCUGAGAGGGCGUCCAACCACACUGGAACUGAGGCACGUUCCAGACGCCUACGGGAGGCAGCAGUGGGGAAUUUUGGACAAUGGUCGAAAGCCUAAUCCAGCCAUUCCGCGUGCAGGAUGAAGGCCCUCGGGUUGUAAACUGCUUUUGUACAGAACGAAAAGGUUUCUACUAAUACUAGGAGCUCAUGACGGUACUGUAAGAAUAAGCACCGGCUAACUACGUGCCAGCCGCCGCCGUAA
rnacentral:rRNA from 1 species